UCUUGCAGGCAAAGGGAAUCAGCUACCUACAUUGUCUCAAUCCUCCUAUAGUACACUGGGAUCUUAAGUCUCCCAACUUGUUGGUUGACAAAAAUUGGACAGCGAAGGUUUGUGAUUUUGGGUUGUCCAGAUUCAAAGCAAACACUUUCAUAUCAUCGAAAUCUAUUGCUGGAACGAUUGUCAAGUAAAAAAUUGGGAGUUAUGAUGUGGAAGUAUAUUAUUUGAGGCAUAGAAUAAAAGAGCUAAAGGAGAGGUUCAGAAGGAAGCAAAGAUUUUGCAACAAUAAAGGUUCAUAUGGUAGCUUAGACAUGUAUAUUUUGUUGAUAUGGUACACCUUUGGGCUGCACAUAUAUUUUAUUUAUAUUUAGACAUAGAUGGAAAGUUUGGGAUGUUGUUAGAAGUUUGAACUAUUGUAAUUAUGUAAUGGCCAACUAUAUAUAUGGUUCAUUGAUAUAUGUAAUUUGUUGAAGUUAUUAGUUAUUUGAUGGAAAGUUUGGGUUGAUUCAA